GCUUGGGUGGCUCAGUUGGUUGGGCGUCUGACUUCGGCUCAGGUCCUGAUCUCACCACUUGUGGGUUCGAGCCCCGCAACAGGCU
rnacentral:tRNA from 1 species